rnacentral:lncRNA from 1 species
GGGGGGGGGGGGGGAGGAUGGCUAGCUACGCAUACUGGUUUUCGCGUAAUGUUUCGUCUGAAGCGAGUUUAAGAAUGAAAGCAUGUGAAACUGGACGAACAAUGCUGAAUUAUGUUGAACCAACAUGUUACACCCUUCUCGUCCCUUCCAGUGUCUCAUCUCCGCCCCCUCCCUGAGAAACAGGUUGGAAUUGAUAUUGAGACUGUUCCUAUGCUGUUGCACAAGAAUCGGAAAAUAACACGUUAAAUGUAAUAGAAUAUGCCUGCAGAAAUUGUAAACUUAAUUUUUUAAUAUUUAUGAACUAUAUGAAUAACUGAUUGUUGAAAAGGUGAACGCAAAAUAUAUUAUUAAGAAAAAUUGACGAAUAUCAAAUACGUAUUUUAUUGCUUGUACUAAUUUACCUAAAAUGAGUACAUUUCAC